CACGGGGGGGAGCAAGCGUUGUUCGGAAUCACUGGGCGUAAAGGGCGUGUAGGCGGUCAGGUAAGUGAGAUGUGAAAUGCCCCCGGCUCACCCGGGGACCGGCAUCUCAUACUGCUUGGCUUGAGUACGGGAGAGGAUGUGGGAAUUCCUGGUGUAGCGGUGAAAUGCGUAGAUAUCAGGAGGAACACCGGUGGCGAAGGCGCACAUCUGGCCCGAUACUGACGCUGAGGCGCGAAAGCUAGGGGAGCAAACGGG
rnacentral:rRNA from 1 species